AACGAACGCUGGCGGCAUGCCUAACACAUGCAAGUCGAACGAGACCUUCGGGUCUUGUGGCGCACGGGUGCGUAACGCGUGGGAACCUGCCCUUAGGUUCGGAAUAACUCCCCGAAAGGGGUGCUAAUACCGGAUAAUGUCUUCGGACCAAAGAUUUAUCGCCUUUGGAUGGGCCCGCGUUGGAUUAGCUAGUUGGUAGGGUAAAAGCCUACCAAGGCGACGAUCCAUAGCUGGUCUGAGAGGAUGAUCAGCCACACUGAGAGUGGGACACGGCCCAGACUCCUACGGGAGGCAGCAGUGGGGAAUAUUGGACAAUGGGCGAAGGCCUGAUCCAGCAAUGCCGCGUGAGUGAUGAAGGCCUUAGGGUUGUAAAGCUCUUUUACCCGGGAUGAUAAUGACAGUACCGGGAGAAUAAGCUCCGGCUAACUCCGUG
rnacentral:rRNA from 1 species